CCUCCUUUCUUCCGCCGUUUUUGCUAUUGCCCCCUGGGGGCCCCCCUGAUGCAGCGACGCCGCGUGGGUGAAGAAGCGCCUCGGCGCGUAAAGCCCUGUCAGCAGGGAAGAAAAUGACGGUACCUGAAGAAGAAGCCCCGGCUAACUACGUGCCAGCAGCCGCGGUAAUACGUAGGGGGCAAGCGUUAUCCGGAUUUACUGGGUGUAAAGGGGGCGCAGACGGCGAUGCAAGCCAGGAGUGAAAGCCCGGGGCCCAACCCCGGGACUGCUCUUGGAACUGCGUGGCUAGAGUGCAGGAGGGGCAGGCGGAAUUCCUGGUGUAGCGGUGAAAUGCGUAGAUAUCAGGAGGAACACCGGUGGCGAAGGCGACCUGCUGGACUGCAACUGACGUUGAGGCCCGAAAGCGUGGGGAGCAAACAGGAUUAGAUACCCGGGUAGUC
rnacentral:rRNA from 1 species